rnacentral:rRNA from 1 species
UACGUAGGAGGCAAGUGUUGUCCGGAAUUACUGGGCGUAAAGCGCGUGUAGGUGGUGGGACAAGUCUGCUGUGAAAGCGCCUGGCUUAACCGGGCGAGGCGGCGGAAACUGUUCGACUCGAGGACGGUAGAGGGGGGUGGAAUUCCCGGUGUAGUGGUGAAAUGCGUAGAGAUCGGGAGGAACACCUGUGGCGAAGGCGGCCCCCUGGGCCGGCCCUGACACUGAGACGCGAAGGCGUGGGGAGCGAACGGG